GGCUUAUUGGUCAAGUGGUUAAGACGUCGCCCUCUCACGGCGAAGACAGGGGUUCGACUCCCCUAUAAGCUA
rfam:Eubacterium sp. CAG:252 genomic scaffold, scf176